rnacentral:misc_RNA from 1 species
AAAUUGCGAUAAGUAAUGUGAAUUGCAGGAUUUUGUGAAUCAUCGAAUUUUUGAACGCACAUUGCACCUUCUGGUAUUCCGGAGGGUAUACCUGUUUGAGCGUCAUUUAUAUACUCAAAACCUACGUUUUGGUUAUGGGCACGUAUCUGGCGCCAGCUAGAUUUGCCUGAAAUAUAGUGGUAGAGAUCGCUAGAAGUGAUGCAAGUUAGCCAAUGCUAUUAAGGAUAAUUCUUUGGUGACGCAUGUUGAGCUCUUAGUGAAGUCUUCCUUAAUUAUCGGAAUUUUUUUCUAAUUUUGACCUCAAAUCAGGCAGGAGUACCCGCUGAACUUAA